rnacentral:rRNA from 1 species
CUUAAUAGGGCGAUUAGUAUGCUUGAGUACACCCGAAACCAGGUGACCUAUUCAUGAGCAGACUGAAACUUAGCUAACCCUAAGUGGAGGGUCGAACCGUAGUACACUGAAACGUGCCCGGAUGACUUGUGAAUAGCGGAGAAAUUCCAAUCGAACUUGGAGAUAGCUGGUUCUCCUCGAAAUAGCUUUAGGGCUAGCGUGUAGUGUUAAAUAAUGGUGGUAAAGCACUGAAUAUGGAAUGGCCUCGCCUAGGGGUACUGACUAUAAUCAAACUCUGAAUACCGUUAUGAAUUGCUAUGCAGUCGGAACCGGGGUGCUAACGUCCCGGCUCGCGAGGGAAACAACCCAGAUCGUCAGCUAAGGUCCCAAAAUCGUGUUAAGUCAGAAAGGUUGUGAGGUUUCAUAAACAACUAGGAAGUUGGCUUAGAAGCAGCCAUCUUUUAAAGAGUGCGUAAUAGCUCACUAGUCAAGAGACCUUGCGCCGACAAUGUAACGGGAGUAAAACACGAUACCGAAGCUACGGGUACAUUUAUGUACGUUAGAGGAGCGUUCUUAGGGCAAUGAAGCUAGACUGUAAAGACUAGUGGAGCGCUAAGAAGUGAGAAUGCCGGUAUGAGUAACGAUUCGUAGUGAGAAUCUACGACGCCUAUUGGGGAAGGUUUCCUGGGCAAGGUUCGUCCACCCAGGGUUAGUCAGGACCUAAGGCGAGGCUGAAAAGCGUAGUCGAUGGAUAACAGGUUAAUAUUCCUGUACUUUCUUUAAUUGUGAUGGAGUGACGGAGAAGGAUAAGCAUACCUAUUAUUGGAUUUAGGGGUAAGUAGUUACUGGUGAUUGUAGGCAAAUCCGCAAUCUAUAACUGGGAGCUAUGAUGCAUAGGACUUUUGUCUGAAUUUGCCAAUUCCAUGCUUCCUAGAAAAGCUUCUAAACUUAAUUUUAUUGAAACCUGUACCAAGAACGGACACACGUCCCCAAGAUGAGUAUUCUAAGGCGAGCGAGAAAACUAGUGUUAAGGAACUCUGCAAAAUGACCCCGUAAGUUCGCAAGAAGGGGCGCCUAUGGUAACACAUAGGCCACAGUAAAUUAUGAGGGGCAACUGUUUAUCAAAAACACAACUCUCUGCUAAACCGCAAGGUGAUGUAUAGGGGGUGAAGCCUGCCCAGUGCCCGAAGGUUAAGUGGAUGCGUUAGCUUAUGCGAAGCGUUGAAAUGAAGCCCGGGUGAACGGCGGCCGUAACUAUAACGGUCCUAAGGUAGCGAAAUUCCUUGUCGGCUAAAUACUGACCUGCACGAAAGGCAUAAUGAUCUCUCAACUGUCUCAACACUAGACUCGGUGAAAUUAUGGUCCCAGUGAAAACGCUGGGUUCCCGCAUCAAGACGAAAAGACCCCAUGGAGCUUUACUAUAACUUCGUAUUGGAAUUUGGCCUAACAUGUGUAGGAUAGGUGGGAGACUUUGAAGCUGAGACGCCAGUAGCAGUGGAGUCAACCUUGAAAUACCACCCUUGUUAUGUUGAAUUUCUAACUUACCAUCAUAAUCAGGUGGGAGGACAGUGCGUGGUGGGUAGUUUGACUGGGGCGGUCGCCUCCUAAAGAGUAACGGAGGCGUUCAAAGGUACACUCAGUACGGUCAGAAACCGUAUGUAGAGCGCAAAGGCAGAAGUGUGCUUGACUGUGAGACAUACAAGUCGAGCAGGUGCGAAAGCAGGACUUAGUGAUCCGGCUGUACAUUGUGGAAUGGCAGUCGCUCAACGGAUAAAAGUUACCCUGGGGAUAACAGGCUAAUCUUGCCCAAGAGAUCACAUCGACGGCAAGGUUUGGCACCUCGAUGUCGGCUCAUCGCAUCCUGGAGCUGGAGUCGGUUCCAAGGGUUGGGCUGUUCGCCCAUUAAAGCGGUACGCGAGCUGGGUUCAAAACGUCGUGAGACAGUUUGGUCCCUAUCUGAUGUGGGCGUUGGAAUAUUGAUGAGAGCCGCUCUUAGUACGAGAGGACCGGAGUGGACGUACCGCUGGUGUUCCAGUUGUUCCGCCAGGAGCAUGGCUGGGUAGCUAAGUACGGAAAGGAUAACCGCUGAAAGCAUCUAAGUGGGAAGCCUCCUCAGAGAUUAAUAUUCCCUUGAAAUUCCUUAUAGACUAUGAGGUUGAUAGGCUGGAUGUGUAAGCACAGUAAUGUGUUGAGCUGACCAGUACUAAUAAAUUGAAAGGUUUAAAAG